rnacentral:rRNA from 1 species
AGAGUUUGAUCCUGGCUCAGGAUGAACGCUAGCGGCAGGCCUAACACAUGCAAGUCGAGGGGUAGAGGAAGCUUGCUUCCUUGAGACCGGCGCACGGGUGCGUAACGCGUAUGCAAUCUACCUUGUACAGAGGAAUAGCCCAGAGAAAUUUGGAUUAAUGCCUCAUAGUAUAUCGAGUUGGCAUCAACAUGAUAUUAAAGAUUUAUCGGUACAAGAUGAGCAUGCGUCCCAUUAGUUAGUUGGUAAGGUAACGGCUUACCAAGACGAUGAUGGGUAGGGGUCCUGAGAGGGAGAUCCCCCACACUGGUACUGAGACACGGACCAGACUCCUACGGGAGGCAGCAGUGAGGAAUAUUGGGCAAUGGAGGCAACUCUGACCCAGCCAUGCCGCGUGCAGGAAGACGGUCCUAUGGAUUGUAAACUGCUUUUAUACGGGAAGAAACACCACUACGUGUAGUGACUUGACGGUACCGUAAGAAUAAGGAUCGGCUAACUCCGUGCCAGCAGCCGCGGUAAUACGGAGGAUCCAAGCGUUAUCCGGAAUCAUUGGGUUUAAAGGGUCCGUAGGCGGCCUUAUAAGUCAGUGGUGAAAUCUCCUAGCUCAACUAGGAAACUGCCAUUGAUACUGUAGGGCUUGAAUUAUUGUGAAGUAACUAGAAUAUGUAGUGUAGCGGUGAAAUGCUUAGAUAUUACAUGGAAUACCAAUUGCGAAGGCAGGUUACUAACAAUAUAUUGACGCUGAUGGACGAAAGCGUGGGUAGCGAACAGGAUUAGAUACCCUGGUAGUCCACGCCGUAAACGAUGGAUACUAGCUGUUGGGAGCAAUCUCAGUGGCUAAGCGAAAGUGAUAAGUAUCCCACCUGGGGAGUACGAACGCAAGUUUGAAACUCAAAGGAAUUGACGGGGGCCCGCACAAGCGGUGGAGCAUGUGGUUUA